UACGUAGGGUGCAAGCGUUAAUCGGAAUUACUGGGCGUAAAGCGUGCGCAGGCGGUUUUGUAAGUCUGUCGUGAAAUCCCCGGGCUCAACCUGGGAAUGGCGAUGGAGACUGCAAGGCUAGAGUUUGGCAGAGGGGGGUAGAAUUCCACGUGUAGCAGUGAAAUGCGUAGAUAUCAGGAGGAACACCUGUGGUGUAGACGGCUCUCUGGACAGUAACUGACGCUGAGACACGAAAGCGUGGGUAGCAAACAGG
rnacentral:rRNA from 1 species